GAGUGCUGGACAACCUUCCCUGCAACCAAAACAGACAGCGGUGAGUGACCAUUGUGGGUGACAGGUGGGAGAAUCUAGGGGGACACCACUGCUUGGGAGGCUGAAAAUCUCUGGAAAGGGUGAGGGCCAGAAGAAGGAAUGCAGCAAACAUCAGUGCAAGGCGGUCUUGGUGACGGGUGGCCAAGACGAAGGAGCAGAGCCAACUAAAAGAAGGUACUGGACCACCAAGAUGGCUCCUCAGGCAGCCUAGACUGGCAUUGAACUUGCAAUCCUCCUGCUUCAACCUCCUGAGUCCUGAUACUACAGGCUUGAACUACCACACCACUCUUUGAAUCAACUCUUAACUGAAGUCAUUCUUGGAUAACAGUCGCUACUUCAUAAAGCCUGCUUUUGUCAAUAUCAGGCCAGAGCUGUUGGUUAUACAGUGAGGAAAAGGAAGGAUAUUCAAGAUGGCUUCCCUCGAACAGGAUCCGGGCUCUUCUGGCCAGAAGAAGUUAGCUGCAGUCCUGCUUUGCCAUUCUACACCAUAUUCCCUUUCAACAAGGUCUCUCACUGUCGUAGGGAUUCUAUGCUUUGAAGAGAUAUCAUGACCACAGAAACUCUAAUCAAGGGAAACAUUUUUUGUUUGUUCGUUUUUUCAAGAUAGGGUUUCUCUGUGUAACAACCCUAGCUGUUCUGGAACUCGCUGUAGACACCUAAUAAACUCAUUGGUUCCUCAGAGUGAACUCUGGUGGAA